UACGGAGGGGGCUAGCGUUGUUCGGAAUUACUGGGCGUAAAGCGUGCGCAGGCGGUGAUGUAAGACAGUUGUGAAAUCCCCGGGCUCAACCUGGGAACUGCAUCUGUGACUGCAUUGCUGGAGUGCGGCAGAGGGGGAUGGAAUUCCGCGUGUAGCAGUGAAAUGCGUAGAUAUGCGGAGGAACACCGAUGGCGAAGGCAAUCCCCUGGGCCUGCACUGACGCUCAUGCACGAAAGCGUGGGGAGCAAACAGG
rnacentral:rRNA from 1 species